rnacentral:misc_RNA from 1 species
GAUGAAGAACGUAGCGAAAUGCGAUAAGUAAUGUGAAUUGCAGAAUUCAGUGAAUCAUCGAAUCUUUGAACGCACAUUGCGCCCCCCAGUAUUCUGGCGGGCAUGCCUGUUCGAGCGUCAUUUCAACCAUCAAGCCCCGGGCUUGUGUUGGGGACCUGCGGCUGCCGCAGGCCCUGAAAUGCAGUGGCGGGCUCGCUGUCACUCCGAGCGUAGUAGUUACAUCUCGCUCUGGGCGUGCUGCGGGUUCCGGCCGUUAAAAGCCUUAUUUACCCAAGGUUGACCUCGGAUCAGGUAGGAAGACCCGCUGAACUUAAGCAUAUCAAUAAGCGGAGGA